AUAGAGAUGGCGGGCCCCCGCGCCCCCGUCCCCAACCCUUUGUCGACCAAACCACUUUUGCCUCGGGGGCAGAGCGGCCUCCGCCGCCCCCGGUGGACCAACCAACUCUGUCUCUGUACGUCGGAGUCUUUGAUGAAUGAAUGA
rnacentral:misc_RNA from 1 species